UUGGCAGUUUCUUCCAUUGUGCUAGCUGUGGAGCAACCAGUGGCCACAAACCCAUCUCUACACCCUCUGCUCUCAGAGUGGCCAGUCUGAUGGGAAGACAACGUUCCAGCAAGAUGAUCCUGGGCUCAGCAAUGCUGCAGGUUGAAGAAGAUGAAGAAAUUGAAGCUCCUUGAAAUGAACUUUCCCCAGCAUGCUGUUGGUGGUGUGACUAGAAUGUGAAGCCUAGUCUUCUUUCUCCAGCCUGUGCUCUGAAAUAAAAUGCUCCCCGUCUGGAGGGGACAGACCCAUUCAGAUCCCA